GAUAAGCACAAGGCCCAAAAUGAAGCCUGGCUCAAAGCCAGAGCAGAGGAAAAUGACAAGGAAAGAAAAGAAAUAUGUAAACUGAAGGAAGAGAUUCUUCAUGAUCAGGAGAGGCUAAAAGAAGAACAGCAAAAUAUUCAACAGCGCAAUCAGCAACUGCUUUCUAUUAUUCAGCAGUUCAAAGGAAUGUGACCAGUCUGCUGAAUAAAACCUGAAUCAUAUGAUCAGGAUCAUAGCAACAUACAACCUUACUUGAACAACUGAGCUCUUAUAUACUAAUAUAAAAAAGAUCCAGUUACUGUGCAUGUUGAAGGACCAUAUUCAGUUAGUGUGAAAAAGAGUUUAAUCUCCCUAGGUUUCUCAUGAGCACUGGAAUGAUAUCUCAAUUAAAUUUCCACCCUCUACCUUUCCUGCAUUUUCCAUUUUGAUUCAAUGUUCUUUCAGAUUUUUAAAAAAUUAUCUCCUUGCCUUGUCUGAGCUUAAAAAAGAAGAAAAGGCAGAACACUAUGGCUGCCCCUAUGAAAGCUGGACCUGCAGAGUUUUAUUUCAGGGUCAUGCGGUUAAGAUUAGGAUGUCAUUCAUAUACCAGGAAAAAGAAGAGCGCGGUUGUCAAGUAGGGCAUUCUUGUUUUUAAAAAAAAAAAGUUAAAUAUUUUGUAACAGUGGGAAAGAAGACAGAAACCACAACUAGGAUAAUAUGGUUAUAUUUUAUGGCCAGAUUCUGCUUAUAAUUAAACUGGUGUAACCGAAGAACAAGUCCAUUGACUGAAAUGGAGUUACAUUGAAUUCAUACAGGGGGAAACUAAGAACAGAAUUUUGAAACUGAGCUUUGCAUUGGAGGGACCAAAUAUGGACCAUGUUUAAACAGCUUACAGUAAUAAGGCAAAAAAUCAUGUUUGUUGUGUGUGUAGGAAUUGUCAAAGGUUUUAGGCAUUUUGUUUUCAACUUGAUUCAUGAAAAGAAAAGUUAUUUCAGUCAUCUGCUUCUCUGUAUUAAACUGUUUCUCCUUUUUAAAUUUCAAUGGGCUGCUUUAUACCAUCAAUUUCAGGCAGAACUCACUGGUGUUUGAAAUCAGUGGGCACUUCUGCUGAAAAAUCUCUGGCACUAUAUUACCCCACAUCUUAAAAAUCAUUUUUUCAACAGACAAAUUGUCAGUGUUUGUAGCAGGAAAAGUUGGAAAUAUUACACCAUAUUAGUAACAUUCACACCCAAUUUCAGAGGGGAUGUAGAAGUUAACCUCCUUACACUCAUGCUGUAGUACAUUCAUGCCCAAAGUGUAAGUGACUCUAAGAUGGUACAAUUUACACACUGUGAAGAAAGGAAAUGUGUGUAAAAGUAGGGGAGAAGUCCUACUUGAACUUACGCAUUCUUAUGUCCUCCUGUUAGUUGGUUUUCUUGGUACACUUCUGUAUGGUCCCCUUGGCAUGAGGGUAUCAACUCAGGCCUGGUCUACACUAGAAAAUUAGGUCAGUUUAACUACAUCAGUCAGGGGUAUGAAAAGUCCACACCUUUGAGUGGCAUUGUUAAGCCAACGUAUGUCUUUGUGUAGCCAGCACUAGAUCAACAGAAGAAUUCUUCAGUCGAGCAAGCUAUUGCCUCUUGAGCAUAGGUACUGGAACUAGAGGUGCUGGGGGUGAUGCCAUGCCCCCUUGUUUGAAGCAGGGCUGGAUUACCCAAUAGGCACACUAAGCACAUGCUUAGGGCACCAGCAUGUGGGCACCAAAAAAAAAAAGGUUUUGUUUUUUUUUUAAAUUUGAUAUUUCAAAAAAAGCAUCCAAGUAGUCAUCAUGGGAAAAAUCAGAACUUUGUUAGACUUCCUUACACUCUACUACAUGCUUUUCCCCCAUUUUUCUGUCCUCUUUUUAUUUUUUAUCCCCACCUAAACCAGGGGGGCGUCCUACUAACUAGAUCGAAAUAAUGCGAAGAAAUCAGAUCCUGUAAUGUAUUGCAAUAAAUUUAUAUUUUAUUAUUGA